AGGGAACAAAAUAUUUGAUUUAAAAACGUUUCUUAUUAGCACAGUUUAAAAUAGGCAAAACUUUGUUUUACUGCAUGUUGUUACAUUAAAUUUGCCAAAGAUCAGUUUUUUCUUAAGUACUUAUACUGGCGGGAAAACUGUGUUUUGGACGGACUUAUUCUGGCUUUGGAAAUAUUUGAAUUUCUCAAUAGGUUUACCUUUUUCCAACAAAUUUCUACUAAAAUUGCUUCCUAGAUUUGGAUGAAAACUGAAAACAAUAGUUCUAUUUUUAGAAAGCUUGAUAGUUUUUAAACAUCUUUUUAGAAAGUUCAGGCUAUUCAGAUAUGUUUACAUUCAUGGCUAAGAUUGACCCAAGUAGGACCCUGAGUUGGGGUUUCCCAUGGAAACGUUUGGUCAGGGAUGAUUAUGAGAUAACAGCACUGAGUGAAUAAAGCAGGUUCCUGAAAAAAGAAAACUGAACCACCUUACCAGGAAACUAGGCAAAUUCCAAGAGGGAAAUAGAUUAGGAAAUGUAAAGAUUACCAUUUUUGAUGAUAGGAAUUAAAUUUAGGUUUCAGAUCAUGUAAUAAAUGAUACAUACAAGUUGUAGAUAACUUGAAAUAUCAAAAAUAAAGAAGACAUUGAUGAAAGAAAGUGAAGAAGACACAAAUAAAUGGAAAGAUAGUCCAUGCUUAUGGGUUGGAAGAAUAUUGUUAAAAUGUCCCUACUACCCAAAGCAAUCUACAGAUUCAAUGCAACCCCUAUCAAAAUUCCAAUAGCAUUUUUCACAGAAAUAGAACAAACAAUCCUAAAAUGUGUACAGAACAACAAAAGACCCCAAAUAGCCAAAGCAAUCUUGAGAAGGAAAGAUCAGAGCUGGAGAAAUCACGUUCCCUGAUUUCAAACUACAUUACAAAGCUAUGGUAAUCAAAACAAUAUGGUGGCAUAAAAAUAGACAAACAGAUCAAUGGAACAAAUAGGGAGCCCAGAAAUAAACCCACACAUUUUGGUCAGUUAAUUUAUGACAAAGCAGCCAAGAAUAUACAAUGGGUAAAGGAUAGUCUCUUCAAAAAUGGUGUUGGGAAAACUGGACAGCCACAUGCAAAACAACGAAACUGGACCCCUAUCUUACACCAUACACAAAAAUUAACUUAAAAUGAAUUAAAGAUGUGAAUCUAAGACCUGAAACCGUAAAACUCCCAGAAGAAAACACAGGCGGUAAGCAACUGGGUGUACAUCUUGGCGAUGAUUUUUUGGCUCUGACUCCAAAAGCAAAGGCAACAAAAGCAAAAGUAAACAAGUGGGACUACAUCAAACUAAAAAGCUUCUGCACAGCAAAAGAAACCAUCAACAAAAUGAAAGGCAACCUACAGAAUGGGAGAAAAUAUUUGCAAAGCAUAUAUCUGAUAAGGGGUUAAUAUCCAAAAUAUAUAAAGAACUCAUACAUCCCAACAGGAAAAAAAAAUCUAAUUAACAAAUGAGCUGAAGGCCAGCCCGGUGGUGCAGCAGUUAAGUUUGCACGUUCUGCUUGGCAGCGCAGGGUUCGCAAGUUCAAAUCCCAGGCGCAGACAGGGCAUCACUUGGCAAGCCAUGCCGUGGUAGGCAUCCCACACAUAAGAAAGUAGAGGAAGAUGGGCACGGAUGUUAGCACAGGGCCAGUCUUCCUCAGCAGAAAGAGGAGGAUUGGCAGCAGAUGUUAGCUCAGGGCUAAUCUUCCUGAAAAAAAAAA
rnacentral:lncRNA from 1 species